rnacentral:rRNA from 1 species
AGCCUGAACGCUGGCGGCGUGGCUAAGACAUGCAAGUCGUACGGAUGUAGCAAUACAUCAGUGGCGAACGGGAGAGUAAUGAAUCGCUAAUGUGCCCCGGACUCUGGGAUAGCUAGCCGAAAGGUUAGGUAAUACCAGAUGAUAUAACCCUACCGCAUGGCAGGGUUCUCAAAGGUCCGCCGGUCUGGGAGCAGGCGAUUUCGUAUCAGCUAGUUGGUGAGGUAACGGCUCACCAAGGCGACGACGCGUAGCCGGACUGAGAGGUUGGCCGGCCUCAUUGGGACUGAGACACUGCCCAGACUCCUACGGGGGGCUGCAGUAACGAAUCUUCCGCAAUGCACGAAAGUGUGACGGAGCGACGCCGCGUGUGGGACGAAGCCCUUCGGGGUGUAAACCACUGUCAGGGGAUAGAAAGUUCUGAUCAUCCCCAGAGGAAGGCACGGCUAACUCUGUGCCAGCAGCCGCGGU